GCCAACCGCUCUGGGAGCAGCCUGAUCAGCCAUUCCGCGUGAGUGAAGAAGGCCUUCGGGUUGUAAAGCUCUUUCGCACGGGAAGAAAACUUAUCGGCUAAAUACUGGGUGAGGCUGACGGUACCUUGAUAAGAAGCACCGGCUAACUACGUGCCAGCAGCCGCGGUAAUAC
rnacentral:rRNA from 1 species